CUGGCUCAGGAUGAACGCUGGCGGCGUGCCUAAUACAUGCAAGUGAAACGGGUAUCUUCGGAUACCAGUCGCGGACGGGUGAGUAAUACAUAGGCAACCUGCCUUUAUGAGGGGGAUAACCGAGGGAAACUUUGGCUAAUACCGCAUGAAGACUCUAAGGCAUCUUAGAGGGAUAAAAGUUGGGAAACAACGCAUGAAGAUGGGCUUAUGGCGCAUUAGCUAGUUGGUGAGAUAGAAGCCCACCAAGGUAAUGAUGCGUAGCCGACCUGAGAGGGUGAACGGCCACAUUGGGACUGAGACACGGCCCAAACUCCUACGGGAGGCAGCAGUAGGGAAUUUUCGGCAAUGGGGGGAACCCUGACCGAGCAACGCCCGCGUGAAGGAAGAAGGUUUUCGGAUUGUAAACUUCUGUUAUAAGGGAAGAACGGAUUGGAUAGGGAAUGAUCUGAUAGUGACGGUACCUUAUUAGAAAGCCACGGCUAACUACGUGCCAGCCGCGGC
rnacentral:rRNA from 1 species